CUUCCAGUCUCAACAAAUCCAUCCCAGAAACCCUAAGUGCGCCUGCUAACAAGCCUUGAGUUUAAUUACUUCUUCAUCACUUUGUCAGCCAUUUUCCAUGGCCUCAAUGCAGAAACCAGGCCACGAAUCCUGUCUCCAUCGUCGCAACAAUAAUAGCGAACACGGAUUUGGAGAGAAAGUGAAAGAGAUCGCCAGCUCUGUCACCAAGGUGUUCACCGGACACCAACACGGAGAAGGCCAUGGACACGGGGGCAUGCCUAUGAAAGAGAGACGCAUGAAGAAGAAGAAGAGCGGGAUGGGAGAGAAACACGACGAUAGCAGCAGCAGUGACGAAGAGGACGAGAACAAAAAUUAAUGGACUGAGUCACUGAGGAAGAAGCCCAUCUAGAAGACGCCUAAAUAAAUAAAAACCCAUCAGAUUAAUGGGUGGAGAUUAGUAGCAUGCUUUACCUAAAGAUAUGCUAGCUGGAUAUCUCAUGUGCUGCCUCUUUCAUAUAUAUAUAUAUAUGAAAAAGACGGUGUCAGUUUGCAUGUGUGCUAUUGAAAGUCUAAAUAUAGUAAUAAGUUAUGCAUGACAGCAAACAAAUCAAAGAGCCAUUGAUUAUGGCAAAAUUAUAAGACCUCGAGUGUUUUUUGCUAAAAAAAAAAUGGAUUGAGAAACACUACAUAUAUUAAUGUGUGAUUUUCUAUAUGCAGAUCGAUAUAUAUAUAACUAUUGGUUUUUUAUGGAGAAAGAAGAAAAAAAGAAAGGAACAAACAAGGAACAUAGAAUAGAUUGAGAGAAGGGAUAUAUUUAUUGAGCAUAAACUUGAAGUAUUUAUGCAGUAAAAGAUCAACAAAUCUGCAGAAUAAUCUGCUAAUCAAAUUAGAAAAUAUUUUCUCCUACAAAAUAGCAUAAAUAACAUGUCAUAGUCUAACUGACAACUAACUUAUUCAAACCAGAAUUAACAGCAUCUUAAGUCAUAAUUCAACACUCAUUCUUGAAUUUGAGGCUAUAAAUGCAAAUUUUUAAUUUUGGUAUAUCUUAGAUAUAAGUAUAUGGGCAUUUUAUGGUUUAUGGUUAUGAGGUAUAUGUAUGGUUAUAGGGCAUAGGCAUUUUUUUUGGGAGAGGCAUAGACAUGAAUAUGAUUUUGAGUAGAGUUAAAAUAACUCUUCUUUCCCCGGUUGGCUAUUCAUUGCUGCUUUGACUUCAUUUUGUUGUUGAUUUUUGCAUACCCUCUCCAUAUGACCCAAUUGACCACAUUUACUGCAUUUGAUAUAUGGUCUCUACCAACACUUGUUCUUUGGAUGAUUUGUCUUUUUAUAAUGAGGACAAGUAGGAUGAUUUCCCUCAUUAUUCUUUAUUGACUUUGCUUAAAAAGCCCCUUCCACAGAGCCUUCUGUCCUGAUCAAUCUUCUUUGAUCUUGAGCCUGUAGUGCGUUUAUUAAUUAUGCCACGGAUAUGCUUGACAAAUCCUUAGACUCUUCUAGUGAAGAGAUUUUAAAUUCAUUUUUUUUUUGGCAAACUCAUAAGAAUUUUUUGUACAAUUUGUUCAUCAGAGAAUUCCUUACCAAGCAACCUCACCUUAUUUACAAUGCCUAACAACUUCUCAAAGUAAUCCUUGAUGGUUUUUGACUCUUUCAUUUUCAGCAUUUCAACUCUCUAAUUAGGUUCAGCACCUGCAUAUUCUUUGUCCUUUCAUUGCCUUGGUAUUCCUUCUUGAGAUACUUCCAGAUAUUAUUUGCAGAUUCUAGGUUCAUGAUUCUGGAGAAAAUUGUGCUUGAAACUGCAGAGUACAAGCAAGCCUUUGCUUUUGAUUUUUUGGUCUUUCUUUCCUUAUAGUUCUUGAUCCGAGCAACUGUUGGAUUGUUAAGCAAUGGAGGAAUUGCAUAUGCAUUCUCCACUACUUCCCACAAAUCCAAAGUUUCCAGAUGAAUUGUUAUUCUGAUAGCCCAGGCUUGAUAGUUGUCACCAUCAAAGACUAGUGGUGCAACUAAUGGGAAUGAUCUCUCUGACUCCAUUUGAUCAUAGAUUUUGGGUGUUGUGUUUGUGCAAAGGGUUUUGAUUUGUGUUUUUGUCCUUUUGGCUUACUCAAUUUCACAGGUCCUUAAAGAAGAAGGGCUCUGAUACCACUUCAUUGGUUUUUUAUGGAGAAAGAAGAAAAAAGGAAGGGAACGUACAAGGAACAAAGAAUAGAUUGGGAGAAGGGAUAUAUUUAUUGAGCAUAGGAGUAUUUAUAUAGCAAAAGAUCAACAGAUUUGCAAAAUAAUCUACUACUCAAAUCAGAAAAUAUUUUCUCCUACAAAAUAGCAUAAAUAAUAGGUCAUAGUCUAACUGACAAUUGACUUAUUCAAACCAGAAUUAGCAGCAUCUUAAGUCAUAAUUCAACAAUAACUCUUCUUUUAUACAUGAACAAUUGAAGAGUGUUUUGGGCUCAGUUGAUUGAGAUAAAGUCUGGGUCUAGUAGGGAAUUUAAUUCGAGGGAAAGAUUAUUAUUCUCAAAUCAUUUGGAGAUUGAGUCUUAAAUAAACUCAAUCAAAUUCGAUUAGAGUUGUUGCUUAUAAGUUAAUAGUGUAACAACCCAUCUCCCAGAGCUCCCCUUAGCAUAGAGAAUCCAUGAGAGGGUCAUCAAUAGGAUGAUAUAGAAUAAUUCCUACCAAACACCUAGUAAAAGAAACAACACACUGCAUUUCAUAGCCAUCCAUAUAUAGCCGACCUAUGAUUACACAAAUUAAGUCCUUGCGCAACCACACAUGACAUAUGACAAUUUGGGACUAUAUAACACUUGUUGUUCUCAAAGACAAAAGUAUAUCAGUCUGACAAAAAAAAAACUACACCUAGGUUUCUAUCUUCAAGAGAGCUCUACACACAAUACUAUAAUUCGAAGGACAAGUUCUAGCACCACUGAGAGAGCCUCCCAACUCAAGCAUCCCCCUUACCUGGAAUGAGGGAAAUUAAUGAGUAAUUAAAGAUGU